UCCCUAGUGGCCUAGCAGUUAAGGAUCCAGCAUUGUCACUGCUGUGGCUCAGGUUCAAUCCCUGACCCAGGAA
rnacentral:tRNA from 1 species